rfam:Prunus persica cultivar Lovell chromosome G1, whole genome shotgun sequence.
AGGGAUGUAGCUCAAAAUGGUAGAGCUCUCAGCUUGUAACCAAUGUGAACAAGUUACAAGACUUACGAGAAGAUCAAGGUUCGAAUCCUUGCUUCCCUG